UCCUACGGGAGGCAGCAGUGAGGAAUAUUGGACAAUGGAGGCAACUCUGAUCCAGCCAUGCCGCGUGCAGGAAGACUGCCCUAUGGGUUGUAAACUGCUUUUAUACAGGAAGAAACACUCCCUCGUGAGGGAGCUUGACGGUACUGUACGAAUAAGGAUCGGCUAACUCCGUGCCAGCAGCCGCGGUAAU
rnacentral:rRNA from 1 species